AGAGAACAAAGAACAGAGGAGGGCUAACCCUGCGGAAUCUGGUGUGGAGACCUGCAUUACCCUCCUGCAUUUCCCUCCUCUCUGCUCCUCACUGUGAAAGAGCCUGGCCAGCUCCAUGCUGAGAAGAUGAUGCCACAGAGGCAGCUUUGGGCAAAUCUUUCCCUUUUUCUCCAAACUCAUGGCCUCCUCUAAUUUCAUCAACCUUAAGCAGAGAAACCUAAGCCUAUGGACCUAAGAGUGUAGUAAGUUUGGGGAGCAUGAAGGGACACAGGCCCCGCCUUUUGAGAGGCAUGCAUGCUGGGAACAGGGAUGUAGUGCUGGCAGCUAUUGCUGGGCUACUUUCCUAAUUAAUUAAUUAAUUAGUUAUUGGUACUGGGAAUGAAGUCGGGCCUUGGGCUUUCCAGGCAGGCUGUGUGGUGCUGAGCUACAUCUCUGGCCCAGGGUUACUUUCUUUUUUCGGGACAGUGGACCAAACUCACAGCCUCAUGCUUGCCAGGCAGGUGCUCAUGUCCCUGAGCUGUAUCCCUGGACACCAUGGGUCACUGUUUUUUUUUUUUGUUUUGUUAUUUUGUUAGCAAGGCCUGAACUCAAGACCGUUUUUAACUAGGAAUGACUUUUUUAACUAGGAAUUUUCCUCCAGCAUAGGCAGCCUAAAAAGAUUCCCCCUUUUGCUGUGAAAAGGAAAAAGGCUGCUGGGGAGGGGGAGAUUUGUGCCUGUUUUCCUGCUGGGAAGUUCUCCCCAGAAUCCACUGGCCCCACGGCUUGGAUUUACUCCAAGGUCAUUCCUGCAGCAAGGUGGCUUUAAAGGACUCAAAGCAGAGGCCCCGCUCUGGACAGCAGGCAGGUGGUGUGACACCUGAGGCCUCAGGACACAGGCUGAAAUCAGAAAGGGAACUGUAAGUGGCACCGGAAAUUAAAAUUUUAAAUGUUUCACUUUGUUUCCUUUAGUGAGAAG
rnacentral:lncRNA from 1 species